AACGAACGCUGGCGGCAUGCCUAACACAUGCAAGUCGAACGAGACCUUCGGGUCUAGUGGCGCACGGGUGCGUAACGCGUGGGAAUCUGCCCUUCGGUUUGGAAUAACUGAGAGAAAUUUCAGCUAAUACCUUAUAAUGUCUUCGGACCAAAGAUUUAUCGCCGAGGGAUGAGCCCGCGUAGGAUUAGGUAGUUGGUGGGGUAAUGGCCUACCAAGCCGACGAUCCUUAGCUGGUCUGAGAGGAUGAUCAGCCACACUGGGACUGAGACACGGCCCAGACUCCUACGGGAGGCAGCAGUGGGGAAUAUUGGACAAUGGGCGAAAGCCUGAUCCAGCAAUGCCGCGUGAGUGAUGAAGGCCUUAGGGUUGUAAAGCUCUUUUACCCGGGAUGAUAAUGACAGUACCGAGAGAAUAAGCACCGGCUAACUCCGUG
rnacentral:rRNA from 1 species